rnacentral:lncRNA from 1 species
AUGGACACCUGCGCUGCCUGUGGGCAGCUAUGUGGGGCAGGACGUGCACUUGGCACAUGCUCGGCACAUGGCAAGUGCUGGGUGGACCUGGUUCUCUUUCUUUUUCUUUCGUCCAAUUCAUGGUCAGUGGUUUGCUGUGAGCGUGAUUUAAGCCUGGGUAUUACCUGCCGUUUAAACAUACUCCUGACUGCCCUGUAUUCACACCCUUCUUACAGUCAGGUUAUACGGCGGCGAUCAACUGGUGAUUUUCCUGCAAAGCGUCAUCAAACCCGAGGAGCCUGCCAAGGCAGUGGCAGCCCUGCAAGCCUUCAGGGAUGUGUCCUGCAGAGUGCCCCAGAUGGAGACCUUGAAGAAGGAGGUGAUGAGUUCAGUGGUUCUGCUGAUACAGAAAAAUCCGAGACCUGCUCCCUCUUGCUGGCCUCCUCCCUCUCCUCUCAGCCCACUGGGAACCAGAGUCUCCUCCGGACGCCAAGAGACAGGAAAGGGGUGCUCUGGGCCGCGGCCUCACCCGUGGUGAGUGUGUGACGAUCGGGGUGGCGGUGUCGCCGCGCUGGUGGCGGGAGGGAGGCUGGGCCCGUGGGAGAGGACCGCUGGGCUGAUGGGUUCCCGCGCCCUCGCGCUCCCAGCUGCCAGCCCAGGGGCAGGUAGGGCGCAGGCGGCGGUGAGUGGCAUCGAGAGCCUGCUGGAGAACCCGGUGCGCGCCGUGCUCUACCUCAAGGGUUCUGGGCCAUCCAUCGUGCAGAACCAGCAGAGCCUCGUCCACGUCCAGCGCCAGCGCCUCGACGAGCAGGAGCGGCGGCUGGACGAGCUGAGCGCUGAGAACCGCAGCCUCUGGGAGCACCAGCAGCUGCUGCAAGCCCACCCUUGUGUCCGCCAUCGUCGUUCCGGUACUGGCCUUCUGGGCCGCUGCUCUCGCCAUUACCACUGGCGGCCGGGAACCUCCAGGACCAGGGACAGCGCUCAGCCGCCGCGCCACACCCCGCGUCCGAGCAGAUGCCGCUUCAGCACCACGGACAGCUCCUGGCGCAGCCCAGCCUCCUGGCUGCCGGGCUCACACAGCCCAAUCGCCCCACCAGCUCCCGGGACACUUGGGGCCGCUACAUAC